rnacentral:lncRNA from 1 species
UCAAAGAUUUGACAUGCGUAGUCACAGAUUGUCUUUUCCCAACCCAACAUACACAGAAAUAGUAAGGUUAUGGAGGCACAUAAGGAGAAGAGAGAGGAAAUGGAGAUGAAAAGAGGAUCAAAGAAUAGUAACAAGGAAGAAAAGGGAUCAAAGGGUGAAACAGUGAGCAAAAGGAUGAUUGGUGAGUCAAUAAUAUCAGAUGGUGGCGACAAACAGAGAGCUCAAACACCACAUGAUGUGUUGGUUUUCUCCCGUUGCGUUCGUAACAUCGAUUCUUCCAUAGAAUGAUCCAUGGAUUAGGGUUAAGCAAGAUUUCUUGUUCAAUUAUCAUAUCGUUUAUUAUCUAAAAACUAAUUAUUGAGUAUGUUAGAAGUGGGUUUUUAGGCCUAACUCAACCCUAUAAAAUCGGCUUGUAAGGUGAGGUUUGCACCUCACUUAUAUAUUAUAAUUUGACCUUAUCUUUAGUCGAUGUAAGACUUUGUUUUUACUGAUUUCAUUUUUAUCUAGUAGACGAAAGACUGAUUGUACAGCUAAGCUAAAAUAAUGUUAUGGUUGAUACGGAUUUCUUAAUUUAUCAUUACAUGCACAAAAUGUGUAAUUACCAUGUUAACUUUAAGUUAAUUUUUUUAUGUUGAUAAGGGAGCAGGGUUAGCGUUGAAUAAUUUUUAAUAAAUUAAGAUUAAUAGUAAGUAAACACUGAAAUCAAUUUCUUAGGGUUUUUACCUUUUCCCUGUAUAUAACAUGAGUUUAGUUUUGAAGGUUCAUUGUUAUCACAGUUUAGAAGGAUGGAUCGAAUCCAUAUAUCAAUCAGAUAACACCUGCACGGGAAGAAGCUGUCCGACUAUAAUAAUAUAUUCACUUUUGUUACAAACUAAGCAAUUUUUCUUUUAAGAAAAUAAAAAGAUAAAAUAUUAUCUAAAAAACCUCAUAAUUUUUUAAUAUUUUCUGUAAUUUUCAAUUUAUAUUAUAUAUUUUUUAAAUUUAGUAGAUUUAAACGAA